GCACUUCUGCAAACCCAUUCCACCUGCCUACGUGUUGGGCAUGGGUUAACUUUGUGCCAGAGAAACUCAGAGUGUAUCCAGAUGAGUCUCUCUGUCCAUUGGAGCUCGUCCCUACAACUUGUGACACAUUU
ensembl:snoRNA